rnacentral:lncRNA from 1 species
CUGAGCCGCUCGAUAAAUCCCUGUCACUGUGAUUGCUGAUGGCUUGUUUUCUUUCCUUUUGCUGGAGUAUUUAUAGAAGAACUUAGCAAGCUCCAAAAUGUAAAACUCUCUGGAGAUACUCUUUGGACCUUGAAACUAUGUCCUGCAAGGGGAAAAAAAUCACUAGGAUUUCGGUGAGGGCUCACAUACUGACGUGGGAAGCUGUGCAGCUGCCAAGGAGUGGAGAAGGCGAGCAGAUUGGACCCCAUGCCUGGGCCUGCCCUCUUUCCACGACAGAGGUGAGGGAGGAGUGUUCAUCAGUUGUGUCUGUAGUUGAAAAUGAAAUAAAGAAAGUUUCACAACACAACAUGCA